UACGUAGGGUGCAAGCGUUGUCCGGAAUUAUUGGGCGUAAAGAGCUCGUAGGCGGUUUGUCACGUCGGAUGUGAAAACCCGAGGCUUAACCUCGGGCCUGCAUUCGAUACGGGCUGACUAGAGUUCGGUAGGGGAGACUGGAAUUCCUGGUGUAGCGGUGAAAUGCGCAGAUAUCAGGAGGAACACCAAUUGCGAAGGCAGCUCGCUGGGACGUGACUGACGCUGAGACGCGAAAGCGUGGGGAGCAAACAGG
rnacentral:rRNA from 1 species